rnacentral:rRNA from 15 species
GCUUACGGCCAUACCACCCUGAACACGCCCGAUCUCGUCCGAUCUCGGAAGCUAAGUAGGGUCGGGCCUGGUUAGUACUUGGAUGGGAGACCGCCUGGGAAUACCAGGUGCUGUAAGCU